rnacentral:rRNA from 1 species
AACGAACGCUGGCGGCAUGCCUAACACAUGCAAGUCGAACGAGACCUUCGGGUCUAGUGGCGCACGGGUGCGUAACGCGUGGGAACCUGCCCUUAGGUUCGGAAUAACUCCCCGAAAGGGGUGCUAAUACCGGAUAAUGUCUUCGGACCAAAGAUUUAUCGCCUUUGGAUGGGCCCGCGUUGGAUUAGCUAGUUGGUAGGGUAAAAGCCUACCAAGGCGACGAUCCAUAGCUGGUCUGAGAGGAUGAUCAGCCACACUGGGACUGAGACACGGCCCAGACUCCUACGGGGGGCAGCAGUGGGGAAUAUUGGACGAUGGGCGAAAGCCUGAUCCAGCAAUGCCGCGUGAGUGAUGAAGGCCUUAGGGUUGUAAAGCUCUUUUACCCGGGAUGAUAAUGACAGUACCGGGAGAAUAAGCUCCGGCUAACUCCGUG